rnacentral:piRNA from 1 species
CUGUUGCUGACUACAAAAGAUGAGAGUGCGC